ensembl:lncRNA
AUUAAAUGCAAACUUAGAGAUGUGAGUCACCUGUGCUCUGCUCUACUGAGGAGUUUAAAGGGACUAGGAAAUCUGGACAACCUGAUGUUCAAAAUGAGAACUCAAGAUCACCAGACUGGCUACUCUAGACAUCUGUAGCCCCAAACCUGAGUUCCUGGAAUUUAUGAAACCUGACAGAGAAUGCAAAGAGUGACACUGGACCAAUUUCCAUUUCUCUUCCCCAUUACCACUUUACACUGUCUUCACAGUUUCCUUUAUGAAAUAUAAAGAUGAUAAUGGACACCUGGCUCCAAAGACUCUGAGCGCCUCCCAUUUCCUAGAUGAAAGCUAAGAUCUUCAGCAUGGAGUGUAAGAUGAUCUUAGCUCCCUAGCCUGCCCCAGACAUGGAUCCUGCUCUCACCUGUUAAAUCUCAGAGCUUCCCAGAAGAUUGCAUCUCAUGAGCCCUGAAACAAGUUCCUCCAGUCCUUCCACCCAGAUUCCUGGGCAAGUCUCCAUGAUGCUUCCUCUAUAGCUUCUGAUGUCUGUCUGAGAAGUAUUGACCUCCCUAAGACCCCAGCUUGUAUCAGCUUGUAUCACAGCUCACCAUGGUCUUGUUCGAAGACUGCCUCCUGGUUCACAUUGCCUCCUCUCUGUAGAAAGGAGCACGGAAACAGCCCUGCAUCAACCUCACUUCCUAAUGCAUCCAGACCAGACCCUUGCGCUGUUGAAUGAAUAGAAGAACCAUUGAAUGGAUUCACCUUUACCCUAAAGACAGAAUGCCAUCAACCUCCUGUCAUGGUGCGUCAGGAAAGGGUAAGCUGUGAAGGAUGCACUCAUCAUCCAGGAGCCCGUGUGCUGCUGGCACUUUCUUUCAGCUUCAAGAACCCCUGCUCUUUGGGCUGGAAGGUGCCCAGGAGCUGGAGGAACCUCCUAAGGGACAGGAAACAGGGAAGGAACUGGGCAGAGAGGCCCAAGCUGAUCGGAGCCAAGGCUGACCAGUGAGGAAUUGGUUCCAAUUUCUCUGUUUCUGUUUUUGACCUAGUAGACAAAGUGUAAAUACCCAAAGCAAAGCUCAGCUGGGAAAGAAUCUUCCUGCAAUGCAGGAGACCCUGGUUCAAUUCCUGGGUCAGGAAGUUCCCCUAGAGAAGGGAUAGAAUACCCACUCCAGUAUGUCUGGGCUUCCCUGGUAGCUCAGACAGUAAAGAAUCUGCCUGCAAUGUGGGAGACCUGGGUUCAAGGGUUGGGAAGAUCCCCUGGAGGAGGGUGUGGCAACCCACUCCAGUAUUCUUGCCUGGAGAAUCCCCAUGGACCAGAGGAGCCUGGAAGGCUACAGUCCAAGGGGUUGCAAAGACCCAGACAUGAUGAGUGUCUAAGCACACAGACAAAGUAUAAAUAAAUACCCCAAGCAAACAUAUGAACA